AGUCGAGGGGUAUAGUUCUUCGGAAUUAGAGACCGGCGCACGGGUGCGUAACGCGUAUGCAAUCUACCUUUUACAGAGGGAUAGCCCAGAGAAAUUUGGAUUAAUACCUCAUAGUAUAAUGACUUGGCAUCAAGACAUUAUUAAAGUCACAACGGUAAAAGAUGAGCAUGCGUCCCAUUAGCUAGUUGGUAAGGUAACGGCUUACCAAGGCUACGAUGGGUAGGGGUCCUGAGAGGGAGAUCCCCCACACUGGUACUGAGACACGGACCAGACUCCUACGGGAGGCAGCAGUGAGGAAUAUUGGACAAUGGGCGCAAGCCUGAUCCAGCCAUGCCGCGUGCAGGAUGACGGUCCUAUGGAUUGUAAACUGCUUUUAUACGAGAAGAAACACUACUUCGUGAAGUAGCUUGACGGUAUCGUAAGAAUAAGGAUCGGCUAACUCCGUGCCAGCAGCCGCGGUAAUACGGAGGAUCCAAGCGUUAUCCGGAAUCAUUGGGUUUAAAGGGUCCGUAGGCGGUUUAGUAAGUCAGUGGUGAAAGCCCAUCGCUCAACGGUGGAACGGCCAUUGAUACUGCUGAACUUGAAUUAUUAGGAAGUAACUAGAAUAUGUAGUGUAGCGGUGAAAUGCUUAGAGAUUACAUGGAAAUACCAUUGCGAAGGCAGGUUACUACUAAUUGAUUGACGCUGAUGG
rnacentral:rRNA from 1 species